rnacentral:lncRNA from 1 species
GAAUAUAAAAUUGCUAACUUAUUGUCACAAAAUAUCUUGAGUGGUAUUUCAACACCCUCUAGAAUGCGCAACCUAGUGACAAAAUUACAUAGCCAUAUUCCUUGAUUGAAUGUCUCAUAACAUGCUACAAACUUUGCUACCAUUGUCGAUGGAGCUACGAACGUUUGCUUGUCAAAUCUCCCAGAAAGUACUCCACUAGUCAACAAGUAAAUAUAGCCUGAUGUGGAU